CUCGUAGGCGGUUCGUCGCGUCCGGUGUGAAAGUCCAUCGCUUAACGGUGGAUCUGCGCCGGGUACGGGCGGGCUGGAGUGCGGUAGGGAGACUGGAAUUCCCGGUGUAACGGUGGAAUGUGUAGAUAUCGGGAAGAACACCAAUGGCGAAGGCAGGUCUCUGGCCGUUACUGACGCUGAGGAGCGAAAGCGUGGGGAGCGAACA
rnacentral:rRNA from 1 species